rnacentral:lncRNA from 1 species
CCCGCCCCGCCCCGCCCGCGCCCGCGCCCGCGCUCGUGAGUCUCAGGGUCCGCCGGAGGGAGGGAGGGAGGGAGAGGGGCGGUUCUCGUGGUGGUGGUGGUGGUGGUGGGCUGGCACGCACCUGCUCUGCGUCUGUGUGCCUUCUCCGGCUGGGGCCUUGGCUUUUCUGCGGGCUGCGCGAGCCGUUACGUUACGCUACGCUGGGUAUUGACCUGCCGUUGGCUCGCGGGCGGCCGAUUCUCUAUCCUUCCCGACCGUUGGGGCGGGGGAGAAGAAGGCCCGCCGCUAGCCUAGUAAUGGCGGUGCGGUACCGCACUCCCAGGCCCCACGUGGGUCUCGUCCUCGUCGGUGGAGCGACGGAGCGUCACAACGGGGACCGGUAUCCCCGGAUCCAUCGGCCGGUGUCGCGUGUGUCACCUGAGAGAUCUCGUCCGCGUCGCGCCCGUUUUCACCACGGAUCACAAUUACCCCACCUUAUUACGGUUCAUGGGAAUACGGUUUCCAUACCAUGGUUGCCCUCCGUUUCCCCUCUUUCCCGGUUGCAAAAAAGAA